rnacentral:lncRNA from 1 species
AGGUUCGAUCCCUAGCUCUGCUCAGUGAGUUAAGGAUCUGGUGUGGCAGUGAGCUGUGAUGUAGGUUGUAGAUGCGGCUCAGAUCUGGCAUUGCUGUGGCUGUGGCAAAGACCCACAUCUACAACUCCGAUUUGAUCCUCAGACUGGGAACUUCCAUAUGGUGCGAGUAAGGCACUAAAUAAAAAAUUUUUUUUAAUUAAAAAUAAAUAAAUAAAUAAAUAAAUUUUUUAAAAGAGAGACUUCCUUGAUUCCUCUUUCUCAUUUCCUACAACUAAUCCAUCAGCAAGUCUCGUUAUUGACCCUACCUUCAAAGCAGAGUCCGAAUCUGAUACCAUCAUUUCCACCAUACUAAUCCAAAUUGCCUUCAUCUACCACCUCAACUAUUGCUGGUCAUCCUGCUUUUAUCAUCCCCUGCUAUAGUCUAUUCCCAUUAGAGCACUUGGAGUAAACGUGUUAAAGGGCAAGGCAGCUCAUGAAACUGCUCUUCUAAAAACCCAUUUCUCUCAGAACAGAAACUAAAGUCUUUAUGAUGGUCUUUUGGGCCCUUCAAAACCUGGCCGUUAAAACCUGACCUCAUCUACUACUCUCUCCUUGCUCAGUUCAGUUCAGUGACAAGGGCCUCCUUGCUAUUCCUGUAACAAGGUGGACAUACUCCUGCUUUGAGGUCUCUGUAACCUGCUGCUCUUCUUGCCUAGAAAGCUCUUCUCCCCAAAUUCCACUUGGCUCAAUCCCACAUGCUCAGCGAGACUCUUUGACCACAAUAAUUAUACCUUCAACUCCUGCAUUUCCUACCCUCCUUUCAUACCUAAUGUUUCCCUAGAAUGCUAUUACCUUCAAAUAUAAUACAUAACAUGUAUUUCCUUUAAUAAUUAUUACAAGAGAAGGGAAGCUCCAUGAGUGCAAAAAUGUAUACUGUCUUGAGUUCUUAGCAUCAUGGGUCUGGCAUAUGAUAGGUAUUCAGCAAAUAUAUUUUAAAUAUGUUGAAUAAAGGAUAAUAUAAUUUUAAAGGAUGAUUUUUAUUCAUUUUUAAUUCAUUUAUCAGUGGGUCCUAUUAUAAAAUCUAUUUGUAUUUAAAAGCCUAAUGAGGCUUUUAAUAAGUGUUGGUGAAAAGCCUGGUAUAUUUAAAUUACUGAGUAGUAAACACCAGCCAAGACUUCUAGAACCUGAUGAGGUUUAAAAUAUUAGAGUUAUUCUUCAGAGUUAAUUGCACUAGGUACCAGCCACCACGUCUAUGAGGGCACUGUGAGGAGACCAAGGUGAAGUUGUUUAGAAGGAUGAACUGACGGUUUCCUACUGGAAUUGAUUUCUGCAGAUGUCAGAAUUUUUGACAUACCUGCUCGGGAUAGAGUCAGGACAAAACCUGAGCAAGGGCAAGCAUGGGUAGGUAAAGACUGCAAGUUAGUACUGAGUACUUUUUCCCUAGGUGUUUAAAAAAUGUGUUUGCUUUGAUAAAUAAAGGAAAUCUUUGAGCAGUGUUCACACAUUUUCUUAGAAAAACAUAUCUAAAAAUGGAACACUCUGCUCUGCUCUAGAUCAUUUCUAGGGACAACAGAAUGGUCUCAGUUUUAGGUAUACCAGGAAUAAUAGAGACCAGAGUAUAAAUUAGAGUCUACAGCAUCAUUACAAAACAAGGACUAAUACUGAAACUUUCAGAUUAAGUGGCUGGAGGAGUCUCUGGCUUCCUGUCAGGCAGGUAGCAACAUAAUGAUUCUCAGGAGCCUCUCCAUGUGGAAUACCCAUAAUAAUAUUAUUAUCAACCAUUUACUAAGCACAUACUAUGCAUCAAGUCCAUUAGGCGCUGGACAUGUAUUAUAAAUGUUGAAAGCUCUUAUAGAUCAUUCCCAUUCUAAAGAUGAGAAAACCGAGGCUCAGAGAAGAUAAUCAUCUGCUUAAACUUACCCAACCAAGAUGAGAUGGGAUCAAUAUCCAAUCUCAAGUCUCUGACUGCAGGCCCAUGUGAAUGCUCCUACCCUAGGCUAAAAAGUGGGUACAGAGAAAGCGUUCAAGCCACAGAGGAGAGCAGGUUAAGGGAAGCAGGCUGGCAUCACAGCAAGGUUCAGGCCCUAGUAAGGAACUGGAGGUCACCCAGUGCACAAAGUCCACCCUGAGAACCUGGACAUUCUCCAUGCCCAUGACAAGAUUAGCUGGGUGAGUACAAAUAACCAGGGCUUCACAUCUGGCUGAAGGCUGCAGACCAAUUUUUGGCAGAGAGAGCCAGACCAUGGAGACACAGACACGCACAGGGGUAGUGCAGGUGGAGACUGACAGGAAGUCUCCUUCACCGCCCUCCUCCCUCCCUAUUAUCCAAAUUGUGCCCCAUACCUCCUCAACCAUUCAUUUUUCUCCUGCAGCCUCAGCAAUCUCUUCCAGCUCACCUUACUGCCUCUGCAGAAAGAGGGCCCUAGGAUAUUGGGUCUGAUUCUAUCACCUCUCUCCUCCUCAGGUCACCUCUUAGCCUUCCCUGAUUUCAUCAAAUAUUCUGUCUUAAGCUCCAAGUUUUUCAUUGGUGCCCAGGUAAAAACAACCCACAAAGAGACAGAACAUAACACACUUGUGGAUAAAGCAACCUCUCAUAGCAUGUGUCCUUAAGGCAGUUCCUAAGGCCUGACACACAGAUCUGAAGUAACAGAGUCAAUAUGCAUAUACUCUGAGCAAUUUUCUCCUGUUUUCCCUGAUACACACCUACUCCUGACCUUUCCAUUCCAGGGAAAGAUAAUACCUCACAUUUGUUUAGCAUUUUACAGGCUAUAAAACAUUUCUAGCUGCACUACCUCACUGACUCUUCCCAAGAGUUCUGGAGGUAUUAGGUCCCACAUCAGAUGAAAAAAUGGAGAUUCAGAGAAUGUGCAGGCCUGCCCUGGGCCAAAGAGCUGCUCAGCCUCAGGCAGCAGUCAGAGCUCAGAGCCAACUGCUCCCUUUACCACAGCCAAGAGAACCACAGCUCAACAUGUCAGAGAAGAGAAGGAUUCUUGAGUCUACUUUUCAUUUCCUCGUGACAUAAUAUUUGCUCCCACUAAUAUAAAUACAGUAGAAAAAAAUCGAAUUGGGGAAAU